GAUGAAGAACGCAGCGAAAUGCGAUAAGUAAUGUGGAUUGCAGAAUUCAGUGAAUCAUCGAAUCUUUGAACGCACAUUGCGCCCUCUGGUAUUCCGGGGGGCAUGCCUGUUCGAGCGUCAUUAUAACCACUCAAGCUCUCGCUUGGUAUUGGGGUUCGCGGUUUCGCGGCCCCUAAAAUCAGUGGCGGUGCCUGUCGGCUCUACGCGUAGUAAUACUCCUCGCGAUUGAGUCCGGUAGGUCUACUUGCCAGCAACCCCUAAUUUUUCUAUGGUUGACCUCGGAUCAGGUAGGGAUACCCGCUGAACUUAAGCAUAUCAAUAAGCGGAGGA
rnacentral:misc_RNA from 1 species